CCAGGGGGCCAUACCAUCCUGAAUGCAUUGGACAUGUCUGGCCUCAGAAGCUUAGCUAAGUUGGACCUGGUGAGUGCGAGGAUGGGAGACCUCCUAGGACACAGGAGUUACAUUUC
rnacentral:rRNA from 1 species